AUCUAGCUGAUGAGUCCGAAAUAGGACAAAACGCGCAUCCUGUAU
rnacentral:hammerhead_ribozyme from 1 species